rnacentral:misc_RNA from 1 species
UCGUGCGGCGGGUGAUGUCUU